rnacentral:lncRNA from 1 species
CCUUACUUUAAAUAGAACAUAGUUGUCAAAUGCAGUUUUUGGCUUAUAUCUCAAAAACGAAAGCAUUUAGAGCAAAUCUGACAGGGAUAAAAAUGUUCAUUAGGUCAAGAUCUAUCAGCCCUGAAAUUUUCAGACGAAUCAUACAAACUAUUGUUGGGUUGCUGCCACUUAAUUGGUAAUUUUAAGGAAAUUUUGCAGUUUUUGGUCAUUAUCUUGAAUAUCAUUAUAGAUAAAGAUAAACUGUAAAC